GGGUCGGUAGCUCAGCGGUAGAGCAUUCGGCUUUUAACCGAUUGGUCCAGGGUUCGAAUCCCUGCCGACCCA
rnacentral:tRNA from 1 species